rnacentral:lncRNA from 1 species
GGCCUUAUGCUACAAAUUUGCUGACAAUCUCUCAUGUUCUUACAUCAUUUUUGCAAUACAGGCGCUUUCCAGAUUGCACAUGUGAGAACACUGAUGUUCGCAGAAGACAAGUAAUGGACCCUGAGUAACAGCCAAUCACUGGACUUUUUCAUCUAACUGCAAGCUUGUAUCAUGGGAACUUUUUGAUGAGAUCAACUGAAUCUGUCUCGGAACCUCAGAGAAGAUUUUGUUGAGGAACAGGCUUGAGAAGGAAUAGAAGCAUUCAAGACAAAAUGGGAGCCAGGUCAAUCUUCUUGAAGGAAGUCCUAUGUUUACAUUUCAGAAUGAUGUGGAAAAGGAGGAAGGUUGAUUUUGAAGCCAGAUGGUUCUUGUUUCUGUCCUGGCUUCACUGUUGUCUUUGUGGCCUUGGGUGAGUUUAUCUGUGAGUCCCAGUCUAUUCCUCCAUAAAAUAAGAAUGAUAUUUCUAAAAGAGAUUUAAGAUACUAAACAUAAAGUGUUUGUCACCAAAAGCUAUAUGAAAAUAGUGGUUACUUUCUCCCAGGCAGCUUCUUACUUCUUAGACACUGAGUACCUGUAGGUACUCAUAUCCUUGACUGGUUGACACAUUUCUCCAACCAUCCCAUCAUAGUCCAUUUGGACUACUAUAGCAAAAUGCCAUAGAAUGG